rnacentral:rRNA from 1 species
GAUGAACGCUGGCGGCGUGCCUAAUACAUGCAAGUCGAGCGAACAGACGAGGAGCUUGCUCCUCUGACGUUAGCGGCGGACGGGUGAGUAACACGUGGAUAACCUACCUAUAAGACUGGGAUAACCUCGGGAAACCGGAGCUAAUACCGGAUAAUAUAUUGAACCGCAUGGUUCAAUAGUGAAAGACGGUUUUGCUGUCACUUCUAGAGGGAUCCGCGCCGCAUUAGCUAGUUGGUAAGGUAACGGGUUACCACGGCAACGAUGCGUGGCCGACCUGAGGGGGGGAUCGGCCACACUGGAGCUGAGCCGCGGUCCAGGCUCCUACGGGAGGGAGCAGUAGGGUACCUUCCGCAAUGGGCGAAAGCCUGACGGAGCAACGCCGCGUGAGUGAUGAAGAUCUUCGGAGCGUAAAACUCUGUUAUUGGGUAUGAACAGAUGUGUAAGUAGCUAUGCACGUCUUGACGGUACCUAAUCAGAAAGCCACGGCUAACUACGUG